ensembl:lncRNA
GGGAAAGGCUGGUGCUGGAGUGCAGACCCAGGAUACAGUGGGGAACAAGUCAUCCAUUGUCCUUUACACUUCAAAAUAAGACUUCUACAGCACUAGCAGGUAUUCAUGCGAGUGCAAGCUGCACUUGCUGUUCAACAGGUUUUUCACCACCGAACCGAAGAGCCACUCGACUCCACUGGGCUGUGGAUAGAGGCUUCCUUCCUAUGUGCGUAACAGGCAGUAAAGAUGAAGCCCACCAGGCAAGGAAGACAGCAUGGAAGAGCUGCCUUUCAUUAGGCAGCACAGGAGCUGGUACUUCAAGGAUCUACAUUCUGACCUUGGGCAUCCAAGGCCCUGCUCACUCCCUUUGCAACUACGCCCAAUGGCAGACAAAGAUGCAGCAGCAAUGCCAGCUUGCUUUCAAAUCACAAUGCAAAUAUACAAUAGGAUCAACAUGAAAUGCUCUCUCCCCUGUAACAACAUGAAGACAACACAUGAUGGGUGUAAUUUUUACUGUUGGUGGCCAAGUUGCAGGCAUAGGCAGACUUUACUCGUCAGACAAACUGUCAAGCAGAAUCUCUCUAUGAACAGCAACCUGCAUAUGCACUCAUCUAGGACGGAUGCCACCAUGCCUUGCUCAUUUUCCUGGAGCUACACAACAUAUAGUGACUACAAUAUUCAUUGCAUUACAGAUGAUCUUCACUUCUCCAAUACCAUCCUACCUCCCACGGUCCCUGGAGUCCAUACACGCAGAGGAAGAAAUCAGUAAAUUAGAAAGAUCUAGAGAUGCUACCUCCUCCCUUCUCAUUUUAGCUGAAUAUACAUAGUACUAUCAAAACUGAUGUCUUACAGUUCUUACCCAACUGAUACACUAGUAAUGAAAACACUUUCACCAUGGACUUGACUCUCCAUCUUUGCUCUCACUUGAGAAGUCUUUAAUCACUAGUACAAUAUGAAAGUGCUUAAGUGGCAGACCAAGUCAUCAGUCUUCCUAUUAAAUAUUUCUAAUCUGCACCUUAGACUCUUUUCAUGCUGUUGGGGAUUACCGACAGAGAGCAGUUCUAGAUCAGCAUUCGGUUAGAGGCAGAACACUGAUGGGAGGGGUUGGAAAACAGAGGAGAACCACAGAAAUAAGAGAAAUGCAUCCAGGUCUUCAUGCUAUAAAUUUAUUAAAUAAUGCCAAUUUUUAUUAAGAAGGGCAGAGAGCAGCAUAACACAACUGGGUACCCACAAGAGCAGCAACUUAAGUAAAAGAUCAUUCUAUAUUAGAAAGACAAGAAGAAACUUCACAUCACUUGGAUACCUGGGGGGUGGGGUGGGGGGGGAAGCUACGUGUGUAGCAAAGGCUGCAUGCAGUUGUACAAUGUAAUUAUACUUUCAUGAAUUUAAAAAAAAAGUUUUAAAAGCACUUCAAGUGUUUUGAUGCAGACAAUAGAUUCUGUUUUUUGGGGGUUUUUUUAAAACAAAAAACAAGUGAAGUGGAGUCAACUGGGAAGUUUUGCCCAUCCUGUAGGAGGCAUAGGACACUAAGAAAUGUAAGAUUUGCAAGUCCUGAGCAUAGUGCACUGCUAUGACAGGUCAACAGGCAGCUCACGUUCCCCGAGGUGGGAUUUUCAAACAGUGGAAUGUAAGAGACUGGCUAUUCUGCACUGCUGCUACUCAAAACCCUGUAGCCAGCACUGUAGUCAUGUUGGCCUCCCUGUUGCAGCUUAGGGAAAUCCAUGAGACUGCAAAGGCACUACACAAAGCUAUUAGCCAGAGAGACAAGA